GAUGGACGCUGGCGGCGUGCCUAAUACAUGCAAGUCGAGCGAACAGACGAGGAGCUUGCUCCUCUGACGUUAGCGGCGGACGGGUGAGUAACACGUGGAUAACCCACCUAUAAGACUGGGAUAACUUCGGGAAACCGGAGCUAAUACCGGAUAAUAUAUUGAACCGCAUGGUUCAAUAGUGAAAGACGGUUUUGCUGUCACUUAUAGAUGGAUCCGCGCCGCAUUAGCUAGUUGGUAAGGUAACGGCUUACCAAGGCAACGAUGCGUAGCCGACCUGAGAGGGUGAUCGGCCACACUGGAACUGAGACACGGUCCAGACUCCUACGGGAGGCAGCAGUAGGGAAUCUUCCGCAAUGGGCGAAAGCCUGACGGAGCAACGCCGCGUGAGUGAUGAAGGUCUUCGGAUCGUAAAACUCUGUUAUUAGGGAAGAACAAAUGUGUAAGUAACUAUGCACGUCUUGACGGUACCUAAUCAGAAAGCCACGGCUAACUACGUG
rnacentral:rRNA from 1 species